CGAUCUACCACUUUCUUUUAUAAUUAAACUUCUUGCUGCGCGGAGCAACACUAAAGUCUUUGCAGUUAUUGAACUUAAUGUUUUAUUGAUAAUAUGGCUUCUGAAUUAAAAAGGCGUGCGAAAUCCGAAGCCUUAUCCGUACUAGCGUCAAUAAAUGAUUCAUUAAAAAAAUUAUUACAGAUGAGGUAGCAGAACUUUUCUCGUGGAAGGGAACUGGUACCAAAA